rnacentral:rRNA from 1 species
UACAGAGGUCCCGAGCGUUGUUCGGAUUUAUUGGGCGUAAAGGGCUCGUAGGCGGUUUGUCGCGUCGGGAGUGAAAUCCACUGGCUUAACUGGUGGCUUGCUUUCGAUACGGGCAGACUGGAGGUAUGCAGGGGAGAACGGAAUUCCUGGUGUAGCGGUGAAAUGCGCAGAUAUCAGGAGGAACACCGGUGGCGAAGGCGGUUCUCUGGGCAUGUCCUGACGCUGAGGAGCGAAAGUGUGGGGAGCGAACAGG